UUUCACUGAAAGUACAGUUACUCAAGCAAGUGGAAAGCAGUUCAAAAGGGUAAAGUUGCAGCUGGUCCUGAAGCUCAUUCUGAAGUUCAGCUCCCACACGUGCAAAUGGCACAACAGCACUAACCAGGCCCUGCAGAUACCUUGACUCGAGCAACAUUUUAAGACAACAGAACAGCUGAAAUCUGUAAAGGAGGUCAUGAAGAAAGGAUAUCUGGAGUCAACUUGGCUCACACAUCCUAGUCCAGAAGAGGCACUGAUUCAGCUGGAUGGGACACAGCACUCAUUGCUGGAGGCUCUGAAGUUUCCAAAGAGAUUAAGAUAACUUUGAUGACAUUUCUGGAGGAUGAAGAGCAGCAAUGAUAACUGAGACUAUACGUGUGAGUGCCAUUCAAAAGGGCUUAGGAAAUAUCAGUCACACCCUGAGGGUACAUCUAAUCUGGACUGCACUCCCUGCUCCUAGUCAAUACACAUUUCAUCAUGUCAUCCAAGCUGAUUGCCAAGAAUCCUUCCUACUGAAUCAUAUAUUUCUGAGCUGCCAUCACUCCAAACUGCAUGGCUGCCAUGUUCACAUCUACUGGUGUCAGCACUGCAAAAGGAGAUGAGAAAGAUCCUUAUCCCCAUUUGACAACCCUCUCCUGGACCAGAACAGAAGCACAUGGAUCCUAUCCCUCCUUCUUCCCUCCUUUAGCAAAGUCGGACAUAACUGGAGCAGAAGCUUCAACAGACAUAGCAGCAGACUCCUGUUCAAGUGCUCUGAAGAAAGGGUAAGGAAAGUGAGAGUUCAUGUGGUAAAAUAACAAAACAAAUAUCUGAAUGGCCACAGAGUGCAUGUUGUGAUUUGAGAGGUUUGUGGUUUUAAAUAAAGUAUAAAUGAGCAAUAAGAUUAGAAACUUCAUUUGUUAAAGUUUGCAUUUCCC
rnacentral:lncRNA from 1 species